rnacentral:lncRNA from 10 species
CCCGCAAGCAGCGGCUCAUGGCAGCCGUAGGCGAGCGGGCGGCGGGCGGCGCGCCACUCUCCUGCUUCAUCUGCGGCGGCGGCAUCGGGCGCGGCAAGGAGCUGAAGCUGCAGGUGAAGCAGCCGGCGGCGGGCGCGGGGACCCCGGCGCAGCCCUUCUUCCCGUUCCUGCAGCAGCAGGAGCCGGCGCCCGGCGCGCGCGAGCUGUCCCCGGCCGACGGCUGCGUGCUGGUGUGCGCCGUGUGCCGCUGCUUCCUGGGCGAGCAGUGGGCCGCCUUCGAGCGCGCCCGCACGCCGGUGGACAAGCGCAUGUACUGGCUUAAGCGGCCCCACCAGUGCGACGCGGNNNNNNNNNNNNNNNNNNNNNNNNNNNNNNNNNNNNNNNNNNNNNNNNNNNNNNNNNNNNNNNNNNNNNNNNNNNNNNNNNNNNNNNNNNNNNNNNNNNNCGCCGUGGCGGCGCCGGGGCCCCCCGCGAGUGGAACGUCGCCUACGCGCUGGGCAGCGCCGGCGGCGACGACGACGAGGACGACGGUGGCGGCCCCCGGCUCCGCGGGGCCGCUGAGGAGACGCGAGACUCUGACCUGUCGGAGCUGUCGGACACGGACCCACUUUCCGAGCCCGACCCGCCCGCGCGGGACGCCGCCAGCCCCCACCAGGACGGGGCCCCGGGGCCAGGGCCUCGCGGGGGGCGCGGCCAGGAGUGGAGGCCAACUCCGGGACCCGCUCUGGGACAGGGCGCAGAGGCCCCGGCGCAGGGGCGCGCGGAGCACGAGGGGCUCCCCGCGAAGGCCCACACAGAUGGGGAGCCUAAGGCCGGGGUUAGGCGCCGGCGGAAGGGGGUUGGGAGGCACUGGGUUCCCGAGGCCCGGGCCAGCGUCCUGAGGGGCAUUCAGGAUCCUUGGCAAGGCCCUCCUGUCCAAGAGGCUUCUGCAGACGGCAUGAAAGGGCCUCCCUCUGGCAGAGCCUCUAAGCCCCUGGAGAGCAGGCCGCUGAGGGAGACCCUCCGCGGCUUCUGCACAUCCGAGGACAGUGACAUCAAUAUCACCAGUGGGGAAGAGGACCACAAGGAGCAGCCUUUCCCAGGCGUCUGCAACCCCAAAGAGAAGGAGAACAGUGGCCGUGUCCCCCGGGCUCUCCCAGACAGCCGGGCGGCACCACCAGAGGGCCUUUGCUGCUACAUCUGCGGGUCCCCGCUGUCCCCGGCCUCGCACCACCAGGUCCACGUGCAGAAGCAGGAGAAGCUGGCGCAGGCCCCGUUCUUCCCCUUCCUGUGGCUGCACAGCCCGCCCCCAGGGGCACAGCCCAUCAGCGAGGGCGGCAGCACCCUGGUGUGCGCCAGCUGCUUCUCCUCCCUCACGCAGCAGUGGCAGAGCUUCGAGCUGGCCAACGUGCCGGUGCUGCAGCGACUCUAUGUGGUGCCCCUGGACAGCCACGCCCCCGGCAUGGCCUCCAAGGGCAGGAGGCUCCCUAGAGAAGAGGGCCUGCCCUCCGGGGCCCUGCGAGAGGCCUGCUACCUCUGUGGGGAGGACUGUACCCCAGAUGCCCGGGCGGUCCCCUCCAGGAUCCUCAAUGGCAACGCGAGGAGCGCCAUGCAUUUCCCCUUCCUCAGCCUCCUUCCCUGCCCGCCCAACGCCCAGGGCCCCAACAAGCGCUGUGAGGUCCGCAGCUGCCCCAAGUGCUUCAGCGUCCUGGAGGAUGUCUGGGCCCUGUACAGGGCCUGCCAGAACGAGGAGCUCAUCACCUCCGUGCAGGGCUUCCUGGGCAGGUACCACCAGGCCUUCUCCGCCUCUGACCCUGCCCUCUCCGAGCUGCCCGCCUCAGCCCAGGGCGGUCCCGUGUCCAUCUGCUACAUCUGUGGGGCUGAGCUGGGCCCCGGGAAGGAGUUCCAGCUCAACGUGAACCCUGCCAGCCGCUUGGGCGAGAAGGAGCCCUUCUUCCCCUUCCUGACCGUGUACCCGCCUGCCCCUCGUGCCAGGCCUGUGGACUCCACCGGCCUGGUGGCCACCUGUGUGCUCUGCUACCAUGACCUGCUGGCCCAGUGGCUGCAGCAUGAGGCCCGCAGCACCCACCACGCUGUCAGCGCCUGGUCCCGGCAGUACCAGGUGGAGACGUUCGUGUGCUUCUUUUGCCAGCAGGAGAAGAAACGGUGUCUGGGCCUGAAGUCCGUGCGGGUGGCCCGGCUGCCCCUGUUCCUAUACACCCUGCGAGCAAGCCACAGCCUGUUGGUGGAUGACGGACAGCAGCUGAUCAUCGGCGCUUGCGUGGAGUGUGGGACCCUGGUGUGUGCAGGUCAAGGGGUCAGCCGCCAGGGACCCAUGAACUGGAGCUCCCCAGUGGCAGCAGCGACGAAGUCACGUUCUGGAGCCCACAUUCGAGGGCGUGAGAGGGGACUGGAUUUCUGAGAAUGGCCAGCCAUGGUUUGUCUAUGACUCUGCUAAGGAUCAGGCUGUGGGUUCCACAUGGGGCAAAGCCAAGGGGCAGAUGAUGCCAAGGGGCAGAUGUCAAGUAAUGAGGCCCCUUCUUUUGGGUGACCUGACCCCAAAACCACGUCCCAGAGCAGCCUCCAAGAAGAAACACAGAGAGGCUUGAGUGCGGCCCAGAGGACAGACACUCUGGGGUCUGCAGACGGGGAUGGGAAGAAGCCAGACCGUGCCUGGGAGCUGGGCUGGGGCCAGGCUCCGCACCUGGCACAUUUGCUUUCUGAGCUCUCCUGACACCUUCUCCCAAGAGGGGCUGUUGUCCCUGUUUGCCUGAUGAGGACCUGAGGCCCGGAGAGGUCGGACCAGUGCCCGUGACCCCCUGACUGAGAGGCGGUGGACUCCAAGCCUGCUGGCUGGAGGUUCCCGUGGGUGCUGGGAGCCGCUGGUGUCGCACCCAUCCACCAGGAAUAUGGAAGCUUCUACCUCCUUCCCAGCUCUCCCGUGGGAGCCAGUUGUCCUCGUCGUCUGCCACUGGCAACAGGGAGUGAGAGAUGGGAGACUGAGGUGUGCAAUUCUGACAGUUGUUGGCUGGCACUUCCUGGGCACUGGACCAGGGUCAGGUGCUAUUCCCCAACAAAGGUUGUCUCAUCCAGCGCCUCAGCCCUGUCCUGGGAGGCAGGGGCCAUGACUGUGCCCGGAGUACAGAAGAGGACGUGGAGGCCCAGAGAGUGCAGUUAACUUGCUCAAGGUCACACAGCUAAGAAGCAACAAAGCUAGGAUUCAAACCUGGGCAGCACCAGCCCCAGGCACAUCCAGCCACCAGGGCUAGAAGCCCCAGGGCGCCCAGCACCUGUUUCUGCCGCUGGAACCACUCUCCUGCCUACAAGUCAUUGCAGAAGCUUCUUUGUCCGCUUCUGGCCCACAGAGCCCUCCUGACGUCUCUAAAGUUCCCACUCAAAGAAAGCGGCGGCAGGAGGAGGGUCCCUGGGUGGGAGCCCAGACCCCACACACUGGGCCAUCCCGCUGCUUAGCCAGCCCUGCAGGGUGAGCUGUGACAGCCGCCAGGAGAUUCGCCUGGGCACAGAUGGAGAGGCUCGGGUGGAGGGAGCAGGUUCCCCGGGUCCCCCAUCCGUCAGACCUUCCCACAUACACGUGCGGGAAAGCUCAGAGCGGAGGUUCCUGUUUCCCCGAGGGGCACUUUGCAGGAGGGGCGCCGAGCUUGGCCACGUUCAUUUCCGUUCCAAGUCCUCAUGUGGAAAUAACUGCCUCUGAACAUUUGCAGCAGGAGCCAGGCCCUGGGGUUCCCGUCGGGCAGGCUGCAGCCCACACGGCCUUUCACAGGCACAGGAGAGGCCGCUGACAGGAAGUGCCGCGCAGAGCUGAGGCUUGGGGGUGCAGGGAGGCUGGGCGUGCCCCGCCAUCAGCCCCCUGAAACAGCAGCCAGGGAGAUAUGGGGCAGAAGGGAUUGGUGGGCAGGUGGAUACGUGAAGAGCAGCUUUGCUCAGCCACCCCCACCUCUCUGUGGGCCCAGGGACUGGAGGGAGGCAUCACCAAUGCUGGCUAAACUUGGGGGUAUGUCUUGGGUGCCAAGGGUCUCGGCAUGAACCGGGAGGUUCCAUGUCACCUGGGGUCCCACCUGUUCCAUGCCAGGCUAGCCUGGUGGCAGUGUGCUGCACGUGGGCACAGGAGACCAACUUGUGCUGGUCCUGCCACUGGGUUACUGUGUACCCUGGGCAAGACCUAUAUUUUUUCUCAGCCUUGGUUUCCUCAUCUGUAAAAUGGGAGAGUUACGUGGUCCUUAUGAAGGCAUCCAGCACCUGCCCAGUGCUCAUCAAAAUGCCACUGUCACGAGAAUGUGGUAGAUGAUUGAAAGGGGCGCUAUGAUCCCUGAGGGCAGCUAGAACCUGUUUGGGCUCCCCAGAGCCGCAGCACGGUGGUCUUGAGCCUGCAGCCCCAGUAGGCAGGAGAUUUCUGCAUCUGGCUUGAUUGAUUCCUACCCAAAAAGCUAUGUAAGUGACAGGGAAGCCACUCGGCCUCCUUGGCUUCGCUCCUUAUCUUUGGGCCUGAAGAAAGGGUGUUUAGAGAGGGGAAGGCACGCAGAGCCCUGGGGCCCUGGCUGGGCAGGAGCUGUGUGGAGGAGCAGAGGGAGAUGGGCUGGGGGCUCACUGUUGGUGGAAAGUAGCUGUAGGCAGUGGGGAGCCACUGAAGGUUUG